UACAGAGGGUGCGAGCGUUGUCCGGAAUCACUGGGCGUAAAGGGCGCGUAGGCGGAUUUGUUAGUCAGGGGUGAAAUCCCGGGGCUCAACCUCGGAACUGCCUUUGAUACCGCAAAUCUCGAGUCCGAUAGAGGUGGGUGGAAUUCCUAGUGUAGAGGUGAAAUUCGUAGAUAUUAGGAAGAACACCGGUGGCGAAGGCGGCCCACUGGAUCGGUACUGACGCUGAGGUGCGAAAGCGUGGGGAGCAAACAGG
rnacentral:rRNA from 1 species